rnacentral:rRNA from 1 species
AUUGAACGCUAGCGGGAUGCUUUACACAUGCAAGUCGAACGGCAGCGCGGACUUCGGUCUGGCGGCGAGUGGCGAACGGGUGAGUAAUGUAUCGGAACGUGCCCAGUAGCGGGGGAUAACUACGCGAAAGCGUAGCUAAUACCGCAUACGCCCUACGGGGGAAAGCAGGGGAUCGUAAGACCUUGCACUAUUGGAGCGGCCGAUAUCGGAUUAGCUAGUUGGUGAGGUAACGGCUCACCAAGGCGACGAUCCGUAGCUGGUUUGAGAGGACGACCAGCCACACUGGGACUGAGACACGGCCCAGACUCCUACGGGAGGCGGCAGUGGGGAAUUUUGGACAAAGGGGGCAACCCUGAUCCAGCCAUCCCGCGUGUGCGAUGAAGGCCUUCGGGUUGUAAAGCACUUUUGGCAGGAAAGAAACGUCGCGGGCUAAUACCCCGUGGAACUGACGGUACCUGCAGAAUAAGCACCGGCUAACUACGUG